GACAGAGGGGGCAAGCGUUGCUCGGAAUCACUGGGCGUAAAGGGCGCGUAGGCGGGAUGGCAAGUCAGUCGUGAAAUCUCUCGGCUCAACCGAGAAACGUCGGCUGAUACUGCCGUUCUUGAGGGAUGCAGAGGAGACUGGAAUUCCCGGUGUAGCGGUGAAAUGUGUAGAGAUCGGGAGGAACACCGGUGGCGAAGGCGGGUCUCUGGGCAUCUCCUGACGCUGAGACGCGAAAGCGUGGGGAGCAAACAGG
rnacentral:rRNA from 1 species